rnacentral:rRNA from 1 species
CCUACGGGAGGCAGCAGUGGGGAAUAUUGGGCAAUGGAGGAAACUCUGACCCAGCAAUGCCGCGUGAAUGAAGAAGGUCUUCGGAUUGUAAAGUUCUUUAGUUAGGGAAGAAGUCAAUGACGGUACCUGCAUAAUAAGCUCCGGCUAAAUACGUGCCAGCAGCCGCGGUAAUUCGUAGGGAGCAAGCGUUGUUCGGAAUGACUGGGCGUAAAGGUUGCGUAGGCGGUUUUACAAGGUAGAAGGGAAAUUCCCAGGGCUUAACUCUGGUGUUGCUUCUAAAACUGUAAGACUUGAGUGCAGUAGAGGUGAGUGGAAUUCCUAGUGUAGCGGUGGAAUGCGUAGAUAUCAGGAGGAACACCAGAGGCGAAGGCGGCUAACUGGACUGCCACUGACGCUGAGGCACGAAAGUGUGGGGAGCAAACAGGAUUAGAUACCCGGGUAGUC